rnacentral:tRNA from 1 species
GAGGGUGUAGCUCAAAGGGUAGAGUGCAUGCUUAGCAUGUACAGGGUCCUGGGUUCAAUCCCCAGUACCUCCA